CUCAGCUGCUGAGAUGAAUAACCAAAAAGAAAACCUCUCAGAACCAAAUCUGGUUAAGAACUCAAGAAGACAACAGUCGAAAGAGAAGCUCCUUGCUGUGAUUUUGGGAAUCACAUGUCUUGUCUUGAUAUACGUUGUAGCAAGAAUGAUAAGUUCUCUUCCCUGUAGUGGAACACUACAGCAGAACAAUUCAUACCCAGUUACAAG